UAUGAUUCAGAGGAGAGUCUGGGAAGUGA
rnacentral:piRNA from 1 species